GCCAUGGCGGGUGGGUGAAAGACCCGAGCUAACAUGGGGUUAGUUCCACACACCUUUAAGCUCAGGGUGUAGGUGGCACACGCCUUUAAUCCCACCACUCGGGAGUAAGAGGCAAAUGGAUCUUUAUGAGUUCAAGGCCUGCCUGGUCCGGCAGAUCGAAUUCCAGGACAGGCUCCAAAGUCACAGAAAAACCCUGUCUCAGAAAGAAGUUAAGCUACUGUUUAAGAAAUAUAAGGUAGCUCUAUGCAGUUUUAAGUUCAGCUGUAUUACAGAAAGACUUUAACUAGCCACCUGUGUGCUUCUUGUAUGCUUAAGGAAAGUAACUAAAACAGAAAAACAGACCUCUAAUGCUUCAGAGAUCUUCAGAAUAUGGCAUUUAAAUUGUUAUCUUUAAAGUUUAUAAUGUCAGACAGACUGCCAGAUCCGGACAGUGACCCAAAGUCUCCAAAGAUUAUGAGGCAACCCAGUUCCUGCACCUGGACCAGUGAGCAAGAUGCUCAGAUGUGAUACCUGCCGCCUGCCAGAACCUAGCCGAGACUGUGGACAAAGCUGCUGGACACUGGAAAAUUGAUUGCACCCCUUUGCCUAGACAAAACAAGGUCAGUCUUUUCCAUGUCCCUCUUCCACAGAGAGGAAAAAAACUCUCACAGUAUAGGCCUGGCGAAGAUUGCUGGUCUUUGAGACACCUGCCUCCAGCGGUUUCUGCUUCUGGCUGACAUCUGAGUAUCAGUUGCGGACUACAGGCUGUUCUAAGUAGACUGCGAGCCCUGGACUUGCUGUGGAUGUGAACCAGUCAGCUGAUGUGGACACCCCCUGUCUCUACAACAGUGUCUGCUAACCAGAAGCCCCUGAUGAAUUCCCCAUUGCCUAAAUUCCUUUUUGCUUUUGACUAGCAUUUCAACCUUCUGGGGUCCCUAACUUCGUCCCAAAGUCAGCAGGAAGCAGUUUGGAAAAGAAUUUCGCCGUCCAUUUUCCCUGGUUAAAAUGCUAAGUCAAAGGGAACUCCCUUGCAUGGGGAUGCCAGUAUCUAUCACUCCCUGAUGGGGAUGCUAGAGAGACAGCAAUUCCAUGAUUGGAAUUUACAAAAAAGAAAAUGGGGGAAUGAAGGAACCAGCUCCCUUUUGGCAGCCAUUACAGCCGAACACAUGCUUGCCAUAAACCUGCCUUGGUCACGUAGAGGUCAGAUGCCUGUCUCGUGACAAGGAACCCAUCAGAAGUUAGUCACUAGAAAGUCAGAUGCCUGUUUCAUGACAAGGAGCCAAUCGGAAGUUAGCUGGUGGCGCUAUGCUUUACGACCCUGGGUGUGCUUUACGGACAAGCGCACAGCAAUGACGUAGAGAGCAUAGCAACCACCCUGGGAGGGCCUAUGAGCCAUAACAACCAGUUGACCAAUCAACACAGGGCAAGCCCUCCAAGCCUGGAGGCACACCAAUCAUGAGCCUGUGCGUAAGCCUGUGCGUACCCCUAGACACUCCCCUUACGCUGCCCUAUAAGAUCUUUGGG
rnacentral:lncRNA from 1 species